AUUGAACGCUGGCGGCAUGCUUUACACAUGCAAGUCGAACGGCAGCGCGGGCUUCGGCCUGGCGGCGAGUGGCGAACGGGUGAGUAAUGCAUCGGAACGUGCCCAGUAGUGGGGGAUAGCGCGGCGAAAGCCGGAUUAAUACCGCAUACGACCUGAGGGUGAAAGCGGGGGACCCAGCGGCCUCGCGCUAUUGGAGCGGCCGAUGGCCGAUUAGCUAGUUGGUGGGGUAAAGGCUUACCAAGGCGACGAGCCGUAGCUGGACUGAGGGGACGACCGGCAACUGGGGACAGAGGAACGGCCCCCACACCGUGAGGGAGACACAGUUGGGAAUUUUGGGGGAGGGGGGCAACGCGGAUCCAGGCAUGCCGGGGGCGGGAAGAAGGACCUAGGGUUGGUAACCGCUUUUGGUCGGGAAGAAAUACUCCUGGUUAAUCCCCCGGGGUGAUGACGGUACCGGGAGAAUAAGCACCGGCUAACUACGUG
rnacentral:rRNA from 1 species